rnacentral:ncRNA from 1 species
AGGUUGGGGAGUCGUAUCGCGCCCGUACGGGGGGAAGCCGGUGUAAAUCCGGCGCUGACCCGCAACCGUGAGCCGCCCGCAAGGGCCCAGCCGGAAUGCCCCGCACGGAUCGUGACCGGCU